rnacentral:lncRNA from 1 species
UUCAUUUAAAAAAAAAAAAAAAGUGAAAUCUUGGAUUACAGACAUUUCACUGUCAGAAGGUCUAAGCCUAUCUCUUCAAGUUACUGGGAGGAUGAGUCCUUAUGGUAAUCAGUAGUUCUGUAGCUCAUUAUCUCUUUCUUUAAAAUCAUAAGACUCAUUUCCCCAUAAAUAUUUCAACAUCCAGGAGAAUGUGGUGGGAAGCUAGAAUCACAGCAUGCAUUCAAACCUACUUUCACAAACCCAUCUCACACUGAAGUUGUCCUGAAGCCUGACCCAGCUAUUAAGGGAGCAUCAUCUUACACAAGCUAGGCAGAGGAGAGGACAGCUAGACACCUCGUUCCUUCAGAUGUCCAGUGUAACUGGUCUGCCUUAGCCAUACAGUCUGAUGCACAGAGAUAGAGUGUAUACCUCAUUCUUCUCCCUACAUCUGGGCAGCAGAAGUGAAGCCAAGCAUGUGCCUGUUGUUGCAGGUGGUAAGUGGAAAUAAUAUCAUGCAGUUCUGCAUUAUCUUGAUGUGGCAAAUUGAGAAUCAACACUCCCAGGCUACUUCAGAUGCUUAGACACAAGUUCUGCAGAGGAAAGAGGUGUUUCAGCAAGGAGGCAAUCAAUAUCCAGCUCUUAACUCCGAGGAGUAACCGGUUUCUGGAAGAGCCUUACUUUUUCCUGUAUACUGUACGCUCAGAGCUCCCAAGCAGACAGGAAAGCUUGGACUCCAGGAGUGGAAUGUUUUGCUCCGAGGAGAGAAAUGAAUUUCUCGAGGCACAUGACACUGGACCACAACAAGAGAAGGGGUGCAAUGAGAUGUAAUUUUCAAGACCAAAGCUGAAGAAGCUUGUCAACCUCAGAGAAAAUUGGUCUCGCAGCAGCCCUUGGUGUGAAUGUGAAAGCUCCAGGGAAUGAAAACCAUGUGUAAUAUUUCUGCUGUUUUGACUUGAAGUCUCACUGUGUUGGUUGUUAGGAACUUUCCAAACGAGUGGAGCAAGCGCUUGCUGAGUUAAGAUCUUCAAUGGACCUGUGAAGCCAUAAUUUUGGCAAAAUGGAAGAAAAUAAUAAAUAAAAUAAAAUAAAAUAAAAUAAAAUAAAA